rnacentral:rRNA from 1 species
UACGUAGGGUGCGAGCGUUGUCCGGAAUUAUUGGGCGUAAAGGGCUCGUAGGCGGUUUGUCGCGUCGGGAGUGAAAACACACAGCUUAACUGUGUGCUUGCUUCCGAUACGGGCAGACUAGAGGUAUGCAGGGGAGAACGGAAUUCCUGGUGUAGCGGUGAAAUGCGCAGAUAUCAGGAGGAACACCGGUGGCGAAGGCGGCAUCCUGGACCGGCAUUGACGCUGAGGCGCGAAAGCUAGGGGAGCAAACGGG